GAUGCCUUCUGUGAGGUCCAUCUUUUGUUUCUUUCACCAGAGGCUCCUUUCUCACCAAGAAGCAGGACCAGGCCGCCCGGAAGAUCAUGAGAUUCCUGCGGCGCUGCCGACACAGGAUGAGGGAACUGAAGCAGAACCAGGAGCUGGAAGGGCUUCCCCAGCCGGGACUGGCCACAUGACCUGGCCACCGCCUUUCUCACCACCCUGGGGGCGCCUCGUGCAGUCUUAACAGGGAGAGGGCUUUCUGGGGCAGGGGGAGCCCCUGUCGGCAGCUUUCCUGUUCACCUUUGUUGGAGCCCUCUGUAGGCCUCCUCCCUCCUCCCCACGCCUUGCUCCCACACCCCUCUCCUCGUCCCUCCUGGUCGUGCCCCGUCUCUUUUGGUCCUGGCUCCAGAAGAACCGCGCCCCACAUACCUGCAUCCCCCGCUGUGACCUCCGGAGCCCUGCCUGCCCCUGCUCCCCAGCUCCUCCUGCCUGCACCCGACUCGGCCCCCUCCUGACUUGCCUUAUUUAUUUGUUCGACGCGUCUCUGAAUGUAUCCGCCUCGGUUCCCACCACUGCCUUCGCUGCGCACGCCCCUCGUGUUUCAGGGCUGACCGUGUCCCCACCCGACUCCGCAUGUUUGCGUCUGUUUCCUCCCUCUCUGGCCCUGUCUUACCCCAUCACCCGACUCUGGCCACUGACCUCAGGGCCGAAGGGGAGGUGGUGUACAUAGGAACGCGUUGCGGAGUCCGCCCCGUCCCCCGAGGGGAGGGGUCUUGUACAUACUGUAACAUACAGAGUAUAGUGAAGAAUCUAUUUAAGGCGCCGCGGGGAGGGCUGCACGGCCGGGCUUGUGGUUCUCUAGCGCGGCGGGGGCCUCCUGCCGGCUCCACGGGCACUUUCUACUUGUGCAUGGGCUUGGUUUAUACGAAUUGCCAUUAAACAUCGCUGCACCAGCCAGCCUCCGGCCUCUGUCUGCGGGGGCGGGGCGGGGCCUAGGCCAGCUGGAGGCCGCCAUGCACCGCGGGCCUGGGAUCUGCGCCCA
rnacentral:lncRNA from 1 species